GGGCCCGCACAAGCGGUGGAGUAUGUGGUUUAAUUCGAUGCAACGCGAAGAACCUUACCAGGGUUUGACAUCCUGCGAAUCUCUUGGAAACUUGAGAGUGCCUUCGGGAGCGCAGUGACAGGUGGUGCAUGGCUGUCGUCAGCUCGUGUCGUGAGAUGUUCCGUUAAGUCGGAUAACGAGCGCAACCCUUACCCUUAUUUUGCCAGCGAUUCGGUCGGGAACUAUAAGGGGACUGCCGGUGAUAAGCCGGAGGAAGGUGGGGAUGACGUCAAGUCCUCAUGGCCUUUAUGCUCAGGGCUACACACGUGCUACAAUGGCCGGUACAAAGAGUUGCAAGACCGCGAGGUGGAGCUAA
rnacentral:rRNA from 1 species